UUUCCGUAGGUGAACCUGCGGAAGGAUCAUUCAUAAUAAGUGUUUUAUGGCACUUUUUUAAAUCCAUAUCCACCUUGUGUGCAAUGUCAGGGUUGAUUUUUCUCUCGAGAGGAUCAACCCCAAACAUCAACUAUAUCUCAACUCUUUGUCUGAAAAAUAUUAUGGAUACUUAAUUCAAAAUACAACUUUCAACAACGGAUCUCUUGGCUCUC
rnacentral:misc_RNA from 1 species